rnacentral:rRNA from 1 species
AUGAUGACCACACACUCACACAUCCAGUACUUGACCGGUUGGCCUAGCCCCAAAGACAAGUUACUACUGAUGGUGAAAUCUCUGAAGUGGUCUGCAGAAGAGUCUUUUUUGGUGACAAGGAUGAGGAUCCUACAAAGACUGAGGUACAAGGUGCAAAUCAAACUCCUAAUACUUGUGUCUUUAUUCAGAUCCAUGGCUGCUUUUCGCCACAUUCUUGUUGCAUUUUGUCAGGCACUUAUCAUCGCUGAGGUGAUCCUGGGGCAAAGUGAUAGGCAGCUGCUCCGCGAACUGAAGAGCUUCCUGCAGGCGCAAAACCCGAUCAACCGUGGCGCCUAUGACACUUGGUCAGAGGCCGAGACCUCGCCAUGCCAUCACCAAGGCGUUGGAUGGACGCCGCCGGGUGUGUCAGUUAUCUCGACCUCUCGAGUUCCAGCUUAG